GUCGACGCCACACGUUAUGCAGCUGCUCCGAUUUAAAUGUAUGCUGACGACAACGAGAUGUCUACGUGCUCGGUUGUAUGAACGAUGCAGAUACUGCAAAAUGGAAGUGCAAACCGCUUUGGAGCAAAGCGGCACAAUUUGAGGCAGCGAAAUUUUCGCCGGCAGCGUCGUAAACGUUAACGUCACUGCGCUGCUAGCGUAUUUACUCUAGUAUGUUUGUAUCUUCUAAAAAAAAACUCACCUGACGAAAGAAGCACACUGGAUCUAGUAAUUGCUUACUUUUAAGCAGUUUUUAACACUUUAUUUGCGUUAUUUUAAUAAAACUUGAAACACACAAUUA